UAACACGUGGGUAACCUGCCCUUAAGUGGGGGAUAACAUUUGGAAACAGAUGCUAAUACCGCAUAGAUCCAAGAACCGCAUGGUUCUUGGCUGAAAGAUGGCGUAAGCUAUCGCUUUUGGAUGGACCCGCGGCGUAUUAGCUAGUUGGUGAGGUAAUGGCUCACCAAGGCGAUGAUACGUAGCCGAACUGAGAGGUUGAUCGGCCACAUUGGGACUGAGACACGGCCCAAACUCCUACGGGAGGCAGCAGUAGGGAAUCUUCCACAAUGGACGCAAGUCUGAUGGAGCAACGCCGCGUGAGUGAAGAAGGCUUUCGGGUCGUAAAACUCUGUUGUUGGAGAAGAAUGGUCGGCAGAGUAACUGUUGUCGGCGUGACGGUAUCCAACCAGAAAGCCACGGCUAACUACGUGCCAGCAGCCGCGGUAAUACGUAGGUGGCAAGCGUUAUCCGGAUUUAUUGGGCGUAAAGCGAGCGCAGGCGGUUUUUUAAGUCUGAUGUGAAAGCCCUCGGCUUAACCGAGGAAGCGCAUCGGAAACUGGGAAACUUGAGUGCAGAAGAGGACAGUGGAACUCCAUGUGUAGCGGUGAAAUGCGUAGAUAUAUGGAAGAACACCAGUGGCGAAGGCGGCUGUCUGGUCUGUAACUGACGCUGAGGCUCGAAAGCAUGGGUAGCGAACAGGAUUAGAUACCCUGGUAGUCCAUGCCGUAAACGAUGAAUGCUAGGUGUUGGGAGGGUUUCCGCCCUUCAGUGCCGCAGCUAACGCAUUAAGCAUUCCGCCUGGGGAGUACGACCGCAAGGUUGAAACUCAAAGGAAUUGACGGGGGCCCGCACAAGCGGUGGAGCAUGUGGUUUAAUUCGAAGCAACGCGAAGAACCUUACCAGGUCUUGACAUCUUUUGAUCACCUGAGAGAUCAGGUUUCCCCUUCGGGGGCAAAAUGACAGGUGGGUGCAUGGUUGUCGUCAGCUCGUGUCGUGAGAUGUUUGGGUUAAGUCCCGCAACGAGCGCAACCCUUAUGACUAGUUGCCAGCAUUUAGUUGGGCACUCUAGUAAGACUGCCGGUGACAAACCGGAGGAAAGGGGGGGGAUGACGUCAAAUCAU
rnacentral:rRNA from 1 species